GAUGAAGAACGCAGCGAAAUGCGAUAAGUAAUGUGAAUUGCAGAAUUCAGUGAAUCAUCGAAUCUUUGAACGCACAUUGCGCCCGUUAGCAUUCUAGCGGGCAUGCCUGUCCGAGCGUCAUUUCAACCCUCAGGGUCCCCGUUCCGGCGGGGAACCUGGUGUUGGGGAUCGGCCCGCCCCGUGCGGCGCCGUCCCCCAAAUUCAGUGGCGGUCUCGCUGCAGCCUCCCCUGCGUAGUAGUUACAACCUCGCAUCGGAGCUCAGCGCGGCCACGCCGUAAAACCCCCGACUUUCUAAACGUUGACCUCGGAUCAGGUAGGAAUACCCGCUGAACUUAAGCAUAUCAAUAAGCGGAGGA
rnacentral:misc_RNA from 1 species